rnacentral:rRNA from 1 species
AUUGAACGCUAGCGGCAGGCCUAACACAUGCAAGUCGAACGAACUCUUCGGAGUUAGUGGCGGACGGGUGAGUAACACGUGGGAACGUGCCUUUAGGUUCGGAAUAACUCAGGGAAACUUGUGCUAAUACCGAAUGUGCCCUUCGGGGGAAAGAUUUAUCGCCUUUAGAGCGGCCCGCGUCUGAUUAGCUUGUUGGUGGGGUAAUGGCCCACCAAGGCGACGAUCAGUAGCUGGUCUGAGAGGAUGACCAGCCACAUUGGGACUGAGACACGGCCCAAACUCCUACGGGAGGCAGCAGUGGGGAAUCUUGCGCAAUGGGCGAAAGCCUGACGCAGCCAUGCCGCGUGGAUGAUGAAGGUCUUAGGAUUGUAAAAUCCUUUCACCGGUGAAGAUAAUGACUGUAGCCGGAGAAGAAGCCCCGGCUAACUUCGUGCCAGCCGCCGCCGUAA